rnacentral:rRNA from 1 species
UUUAAUUCUAGUGGCGGACGGGUGAGUAACGCGUGGGUAACCUGCCUUAUACAGGGGGAUAACAGUCAGAAAUGGCUGCUAAUACCGCAUAAGCGCACAGAGCUGCAUGGCUCGGUGUGAAAAACUCCGGUGGUAUAAGAUGGACCCGCGUUGGAUUAGCUUGUUGGUGGGGUAACGGCCCACCAAGGCGACGAUCCAUAGCCGGCCUGAGAGGGUGAACGGCCACAUUGGGACUGAGACACGGCCCAGACUCCUACGGGAGGCAGCAGUGGGGAAUAUUGCACAAUGGGGGAAACCCUGAUGCAGCGACGCCGCGUGAAGGAAGAAGUAUCUCGGUAUGUAAACUUCUAUCAGCAGGGAAGAUAGUGACGGUACCUGACUAAGAAGCCCCGGCUAACUACGUGCCAGCAGCCGCGGUAAUACGUAGGGGGCAAGCGUUGUCCGGAAUUACUGGGUGUAAAGGGAGCGCAGGCGGGAAGACAAGUUGGAAGUGAAAACCAUGGGCUCAACCCAUGAAUUGCUUUCAAAACUGUUUUUCUUGAGUAGUGCAGAGGUAGAUGGAAUUCCCGGUGUAGCGGUGGAAUGCGUAGAUAUCGGGAGGAACACCAGUGGCGAAGGCGGUCUACUGGGCACCAACUGACGCUGAGGCUCGAAAGCAUGGGUAGCAAACAGGAUUAGAUACCCUGGUAGUCCAUGCCGUAAACGAUGAUUACUAGGUGUUGGGGGAUUGACCCCCUCAGUGCCGCAGUUAACACAAUAAGUAAUCCACCUGGGGAGUACGACCGCAAGGUUGAAACUCAAAGGAAUUGACGGGGGCCCGCACAAGCAGUGGAGUAUGUGGUUUAAUUCGAAGCAACGCGAAGAACCUUACCAGGCCUUGACAUCCGAUGCAUAGCACAGAGAUGUGUGAAAUCCUUCGGGACAUCGAGACAGGUGGUGCAUGGUUGUCGUCAGCUCGUGUCGUGAGAUGUUGGGUUAAGUCCCGCAACGAGCGCAACCCUUAUUGCCAGUUACUACGUUAAGAGGACUCUGGCGAGACUGCCGUUGACAAAACGGAGGAAGGUGGGGAUGACGUCAAAUCAUCAUGCCCUUUAUGACCUGGGCUACACACGUACUACAAUGGCGUUAAACAAAGAGAAGCAAGACCGCGAGGUGGAGCAAAACUCAAAAACAACGUCUCAGUUCAGAUUGCAGGCUGCAACUCGCCUGCAUGAAGUCGGAAUUGCUAGUAAUCGCGGAUCAGCAUGCCGCGGUGAAUACGUUCCCGGGCCUUGCACUCACCGCCCGUCA